rnacentral:rRNA from 1 species
UACCAGCACCCCGAGUGGUCGGGACGAUUAUUGGGCCUAAAGCAUCCGUAGCUUGUUCUGCAAGUCCUCCGUUAAAUCCACCUGCUCAACAGAUGGGCUGCGGGGGAUACUACAGGGCUAGGAGGCGGGAGAGGCAAACGGUACUCAGUGGGUAGGGGUAAAAUCCUCUGAUCCACUGGAAGACCACCAGUGGCGAAGGCGGUUUGCCAGAACGCGCUCGACGGUGAGGGAUGAAAGCUGGGGGAGCAAACCGGG